AAUUAAACUUAAGGAGGCUCGAGAGUAUAAAAAUUUCAGAAAAAAAAUAAACAUUUGUUUUUCAUUUCAAAUUUUAUUUGUUACCUUUUGUAGUUGUUACUUAUCAUAUGGUACAAAAAUCAUUCAAAACAAACAAUUCGUGUUGGCCCCAGAUGACUUUUAAAAUGUAUACAUCAUUGAAAAAGUUCCAAAUUAUCUCCCUUUGGUGGAAAAAUGCUAUUUUUUGGCUUUCAAAUUGAAAUAUCUUUUUUAACUCAUCGGUGACCUAUAUUUUUUAGUAUAAUUUCCAUAUAAG
rnacentral:lncRNA from 1 species